UACGAAGGGGGCUAGCGUUGCUCGGAUUGACUGGGCGUAAAGGGCGCGUAGGCGGUUACGUACAGUCAAGACGUGAAAUCCUGGGCUCAACCUGGGGCUGCGUUUGAUACGUGCGGACUUGAGUGCGGAAGAGGGUCGUGGAAUUCCCAGUGUAGAGGUGAAAUUCGUAGAUAUUGGGAAGAACACCGGUGGCGAAGGCGGCGACCUGGUCCGAUACUGACGGCUGAGGCGCGAAAGCGUGGGGAGCAAACAGG
rnacentral:rRNA from 1 species